CCACCAGAACCCUUUCUCCUUUGGCAAUGCUGUGCCAGGCCUGACCUGCCACUGGUCUGUCACCAAGAGGGAUGUCCUGGACCUCCGAGGGCGGCACCAUGAGGUGAGGCGUGUGGGGCAGGGGCUGCCACCUGCUGGUGUCUCUGAGGUGAGGAGGGUCAGGGUCACAACAUGAGUGGGGCUGACCUCAAGAGGCCUGGGGACUGCCUGCAUUUGGAAAACAGCCUCAGAGAGGGAGGAGACCUGUUCAGAGCCAUGGGGUCAGGACUGAGUUCAGCAUUUCUCCUGCCUGGGGCACAGCCUGGGUAUGUCUCCAGCCUGUCCCUGCUACCUACAGGUACAGGAUUGGCCCAGGGAGAGCAGUUGGGGAAAUCUGGGCAGAAUGGAUUCUAGGGGGGCUUCACUGUAGAGAAGACAUCAUGGCUGUUUCAGGAGCCAAAACCCGCUGCCUAUCCAGACCAAUGAAUGGAUUCAGGCUCAGUGUUCAGUUUCUGGUCGGCUGCUGGGAGAAGCACCUUGUUCAGUGACAGAACACUGGGCUGCAAAGUCUAACCAGCCUGGGUUCAAACCCCCUCUCUGCCACAUUCUGGCAAGGCAUUUAGGCUUUGAGCCUCAGUGUUGCCACCUGUGAAAUGGGUAACAUGACACUGUAUCCCUGCUCUUUCUGCAGCUCUGCCUGUGGGUGGUGAGGCUGCUCCAUGCUGAGCCUCCCUGCUAUGACAUAGGGAUGCUGGGGCCUUGCCCUACAUGGAACAAGUGACAGGUGGAUGGAAGUGUCCCUAGUAAAUAGCUGAGGGUGGUGCCAUGUGCCAGAGCCUAAUUGCUCCAUGCCAGGAAAGCAGAGCGGCAGAGCUGAGGCAGUUCUGUGGGCAGGAGCAGCUGCCAGGCCCCUCCAUGGCUGGCCCAGGGACACUGCCAUCAGGGAUAAAGGAGAUGCAUCUUAUAGGCACAGUGAAUGCUAGGCCCAAGCUCAGGGGCUCUUCUAGUGGCCAGCACAGAGUAGGCCCUCAGCUAUUGGUCCCACUGCCCUAUUUGUCCCCCUGGACCAAGAAAAGCUGAGGGCUGGCAAGGAGGGCAGCCCACCUAGGGGCAUCUUGCUGGUGUGGCCAUGAGAGAAAAGAGACCAUAUUCACCAAAUUUUAUUGCACUAUAUUGUUAUAAUUGUUCUUUUUUAAAUAUACACAUGAGGUCUCACUGUGUUGCCCAGGCUGGUCUUCAACUCCUGCGCUCCAGCAAUCUUCCUGCCUGAGCCUCUGAAAGUCCUGGGAUUACAGGCAUGAGCCACCAUGCCCAGCCUAUUUUACUUUAUUAUUGGUUAUUGUUGCUAUCUCUUACUGUGCCUAAUUGAUAAACUCUAUCACAGUUUGCAUAUUUGGAAAAAAAACAGUAUAUAUAGUGCUUGGUACUAACUGCAGCUUUAGGUAUCCACUGGGGUCUUGGAACCUGACUCGCACAGCCAAGGGUGACCACAGUAUGCCAGAGCCCAGCUGGGCUGUGGAAGUGCAUUUACCCCAGGGCUUCAUUUUGCUGAUGAAAUAGCAGAAGUCGAGAGGGAAAGUUUCCUUUCAGAUUGCACAAGGGAGGCAGGGCAACUGUGGAAGCAGCAGCCCCAGAUGUGUGCUUGGACACAGCCCUUUCCUUUGGAAGCUGCCUCGGGCAAUGCCCACUGCCAAGUAACUUCCAGCUCUGCAACUCCAGACAGGUGAAUCCCCUGGUAACAUCCCUGAGGAUGUUAGACCAUCCUGGUCCCACUGCUCUGUCUGACCCAUCUGACUGCUUUUCUCUCCACUGCUCAGCUCCCUCACCAGCCUGCUUUCCAGUUCUCUGAGGACAAUGAUCUGCCAACUGCAGCCUAUAGGCUACUAGAUUAGUCCAUUCUCCAAAUGGGAGAAAUUGGCCUAAACGAAGGGGCUACAGGCCCCAUCCAAGUCUGAACUCCAGCAGGGCAGUCAAAUCUUUGAGCUCCAAAAUGAUCUCCUUUGACUCUAUGUCUCACAUCCAGGUCAUGCUGAUGCAAGAGGUGAGUUCCCAUGGCCUUGGGCAGCUCUACCCCUGUGGCUUUGUAGGGCACAACCCCCUCCUGGCUGCUUUCGUGGGCUGGCAUUGUCUGCAGCUUUUCCAGGUACAUGGUGCAAGCUGUCAGUGGAUCUAUGAUUCUGGGGUCUGGAGGAUGAUUGCUGUCUUCUCACAGCUUCACUAGGCAGUACCCAAGCAGAGACUUUGUACUGGGGCUACCACCCCACAUUUCCCUUCCACACUGCCCUGGCAGAGGUUCUCCGUGAGGGUUCCACCCCUGCAGCACACCUCUGCCUGGACAUCAAGGCAUUGUCAUACAUCCUCUGAAAUCUAGGCAGAGGUUCCCAAACUUCAAUUCUUGUAUUUUGUGCACCUGCAGAACCAACACCACCUGAAAGCUGCUGAGGCUUGGGGCUUGCACCCUCUGAAGCCACAACUCAAGCUCUAUGUUGGCCCCUUUUAGUCAUGGCUGGAGCAGCUGAGACACAGGACACCAAGUCCCUAGGCUGCACACAGCAAGGUGCUGGAUCUGGCCCACAAAAUCAUUUUUCCUCCUAGGCAAAAUGGGAAGGAGAUGCCAUGAAGACCUCUGACAUAUCCUGGAGACAUUUUCCCCACUGUCUUGGUGAUUAACAUUUGGCUUCUCAUUACUUAUCCAAUUGUGCAGCUGGCUUUAAUUUCUCCUCAGAAAAUGGGUUUUUCUUUUCUACUGCAUCAUCGGGCUACAAAUUUUCCAAACUUUUAUGGUCUGCUUCCCUUAUAAACAUAAGUUCCAAUUCCAAACCAUAUUCCAAUACAUAAGCUGAAUGCUUUUAACAGUACCCAAGUCACCUCUUGGCCAUUUUGCUGCUUAGAAAUUUCUUCUGCCAGAUGCUCUAAAUCAUCUCUCUCAAGUUCAGAGUUCCACAGAUCUCUAGGGCAGGGGCAAAAUGCUGUCAGUCCUUUUGCUAAGACAUAGCAAGAGUCACCCUUAUUCCAGUUUUCAACAAGUUCGUCAUCUCCAUCUGAGACCACCUAAACCUGGACAUCAUUGUCCAUCCACAUUUUGGUCAAAGCCAUUCAACGAGUCUCUAGGAAGUUCCAAACUUUCCCACAUUUUCCUAUCUUCUUCUGAGCCCUCCAAACUGUUCCAACCUCUGCCUGUUACCCAGUUCCAAAGUUGCUUCCACAUUUUUGGGUAUCUUUACAGCAGCACCUCACUCUACCAGCACAUUUACUGUAUUAGUCCGUUCUCAUGCUGCCAAUAAAGACAUACCCUGGGCCGGGCGUGGUGGCUCACGCCUGUAAUCCCAGCACUUUGGGAGGCCGAGGUGGGUGGAUCACGAGGUAAAGAGAUCGAGACCAUCCUGGUCAACAUGGUGAAACCCUGUCUCUACUAAAAGUACAAAAAAAAAAAAAAUUAGCUGGGCAUGGUGGCGCGUGCCUGUAUUCCCAGCUACUCAAGAGGCUGAGGCAGGAGAAUUGCCUGAACCCAGGAGGCGGAGGUUGCGGUGAGCCGAGAUCAUGCCAUUACACUCCAGCCUGGGUAAGGGGAGUGAAACUCCAUCUCAAAAAAAAAAAAAAAAGACAUACCCAGGACAGUAAUUUAUAAAGGAAAGAGGUUUAAUGUACUCACAGUUCCACAUGGCUGGGGAGGCCUCACAAUCAUGUCAGAAGGCAAAAAAGCAAAGGCAUGUCUUACAUGAUGGCACGCCAGAGAGCUUAUGCAGGGGAACUCCCAUUUAGAGAACCAUCAGAUAUCCUGUGAGACUCAUCUACCACAAGAACAGCAUAGGGGAAACUGCCCCCAUUAUUCUGUUAUCUCCACCUGGCCCUGCCCUUGACACAUAAGGAUUAUUACAAUUCAAGGUGAGAUUUGGGUGGGGACACAGAGCCAAAUCAUAUCAGCUAUAUUGGUUUGCUGCCCACUUUUGCAGGGCCCUUGUUGAGCUAAGUUUUUACACUUUUAGAUGGCUGAAAACAUCAACAGAACUCUAUUUCAUCACAAGUGAAAGUUCUAUGUAAUUCCAGUGUCCAUUGUUAUUGGAGCACAUCCAGGCCCAUUCAUUUCCAUGUGGUCAAGGGCUGUUUUUGAACAAUGACAGAGCUGACUGGUUGUGGCAAAGACCACAUGGCCCACAAAGCCCAAACUGUUUACCAUCCAGGUAUUGCCAACUCCUCUGGGAACUCCAGGCUGGCUCCCACCUCAGGAGCUGUGCUGUGUAAAUGUUGCCUCUUCACAGGGCCCUUCUCUGUCCACCUUUCAUACCUCCAUGACACCCUCCAUCCCAUCCUGUCUCUUUCCUCGUCUGGACUAAUCUGAUCUGAAUUGGUCUUCAAUUUGUGCGCUCCUACUAGAGUGUCAGCUCGUGGAGGACGGGAAUCCAUCAGCCCUGCUCAUCCCUGGAUCACAUCUGGUAACAGCCUGGCAUAUUGAGAGCGCUCAGUGACCAUUUGUUUACUGACUAACUGAUGGCACCAGGACAAGGAGCAAGUCAUGAAGCUGAGGGGAAUCCCAAAUCCUGUCUUCAGAUAGAAGUUUGCUCCUUGCUUCUUUCUGGGAUAGGUGGCUGUGAAGGUCAUCUAGAGAGGUCAGCAGAGCUCCUUCAGCCUCUGGAGUCGAUAGCUACGAAGUCGAUAUAAUGAGGGCCCUAAAUCACCCAACCUCCACCAGCUCCUCCCUGUGACUACCACUGUGGGCACUCUGAGUUAUGUAGCAUGCCAGCUGGGGCAGCUACUUCACUACAUCCUACAGCCCCACCAAAAGCAGGCCUGAGAAGGAAAAGAACUCAUCAACACAUUGCUGCCUGCAAACCCCGGGAAAGGCCACCUCCAUCACAUUAUAUGGCAUCUGUAAAUCAACAUGGGCCAGCGGGAGAUACCAAGGCCAUACUGGGAGCUGCUUUUUGAUCACCAGGUUCACACUGCAUCUUGCUGGGAAGGUUAAAAAAUAAAAAAUAAAUGAUCACCAGGAUCACAGAAGGAAAGAGCUCAUGAUGUCCAUGGAAUUCACGCAGAUCACAUCAAGGAAUCUUUGGAACAAAAAAUUCACAACACAUGGCCUCAUAUAAAAAUCCUGGGCUGCAGGAAAACUGAGGCAGAGGGCUCCAACAUCACAGUGAAGUCUCCGCCUUCUGCAGAUCCCAACAGCCACAGUACUUCUCAUCACC